rnacentral:rRNA from 1 species
GAUGAACGCUAGCGGCAGGCCUAACACAUGCAAGUCGAGGGGCAGCACAGAAACAGCAAUGUUUUGGUGGCGACCGGCGGACGGGUGCGUAACGCGUAUGCAACCUACCUUUAACAGGGGGAUAACGGAGAGAAAUUUCCACUAAUACCCCAUAACAUCGAUCAAGGCAUCUUGAUUGGUUGAAAACUCCGGUGGUUAAAGAUGGGCAUGCGUUGUAUUAGGUAGUUGGUGAGGUAAUGGCUCACCAAGCCUACGAUACACAGGGGGACUGGGAGGUUAGCCCCCCACACUGGUACUGAGACACGGACCAGACUCCUACGGGAGGCAGCAGUGAGGAAUAUUGGUCAAUGGGGGCAACCCUGAACCAGCCAUGUCGCGUGCAGGAAGACGGCUCUAUGAGUUGUAAACUGCUUUUAAACAGGGAUAAAGCACAGUAUGUAUACUGUGUUGAAGGUACUGUAAGAAUAAGGAUCGGCUAACUCCGUGCCAGCAGCCGCAGUAA